rnacentral:tRNA from 1 species
AGCGGAAAAAGGGACUUGAACCCUCACC